ACGAAAUUAUGGGAAACAGGAGUUUUUUUUUUAAACGCAUGAUGAAGUAAAUGUAUUUGUAGGCACAGUCUAUCUCCCAAUAAUUACUUGCAAAUAGUUUCCACAAGCCUGCCAGUAAAAGCGUCUCCAUGUAGAAGAGGCAGUUGCUAAUGACUAUAGCAACGGCGCACACAUCUCGCUGUAUGUCUAAUAAGCCCGGAGUUUCGGUUCGAAGGUGAAAAUGCAGCUUAGAAAAUGAAACGUGGCCCUGGAGAUGACCUUGAAGUCGAUACGUUCGUCCUUUUUUAAAAGGAGGCCGAACAAGAGGAGAGGCAGCGGUACAGUUUCCCCGACCCCCUAAAGAUGGCAGUCAAACAUGGGAUUUUUCCGCGUCCAUCUCCGGAGCUGCAAACAGUCGCAGCCAGGAAUUCAAACCCGGAGACCAGCACUGGCAAAAGCUGCACAAUUAAAACGUCGACACAUUUUAAAUAGCACAUUUUUUUAACGGAGGCAGAAUUCACUUGGGACCCCAAAGUAAAAGAAAAUCAAGAUAGUUUUGCAAAACGCCACUAUCUCCAAGGAAAGUGUUCGGGGUGAAUUGCAUAUUGAUGCACACACAUGUUUUGUUUGCCCUCGACGAUUGUGUACUUCUCAGAGAUAAGAUUCAGUUUGGUUUGUAGUUUUACCCCCUCUUCUUCCCAUCAAAGUAAAAUUAAUCAAAUAAACGGAAAGAAACCACCCUUUGUUGCGAGUGGAUUUUAUGCUUUCCGGCUUUGAAAUUUGGUCUGUUUAAGAAAGUCCAUGCGAGAAUUGAGAGCUGGGGUACAGAUUUUAAACCCUUCUUAACUGAGCCAUUGACUGGGUGCAAUAAGGCGUGAGGGGGAACUAAUCUUCCUAUUUAAGUGUUUGUUGCAAUUUUAUUUAAACGAAUUUUAAUGCUAAACGAGGGAUAAUUCCCCAUUUGUAUCCAGACUAGUAGACCAACCCCCACCCCACAUAGGCUAUCCUCUUUCUGCACAGGGCGGGCAGACGCGGCGUUUGGUGCGCAGGAGUGUAAACCAGGCACUUCCGAAACUCAAGUAUUGCUGCACUGCAUUGCAUUUUUCCGAUAAACAUAGAAAUCGAAAGAGGUUUAUAUGCCCAUUUCGCCAUUUUCUCAAGUGUGUCUGUGCAAAUGUGAAACUGAGUUAGAUGCACUGCGCGCUAAUUCGGGGUUAUCCAGGGUACCUGUGCAAACAUUAGUGCAAGUUGUGCUAAAUAAAUAAUCCCCUUGACAUGCAUCUGGUGUUUUGUAAAACGUUUAAUUUAUAGUUGAUUUCUCCUCCGCAUAUUUACAAAAAAAAGUAAGAAUUGUUUUUAACAUUAUCCGUGUUUAGUAAUAUAAGCAAAAUCUUCAAAUAGCAGCUAUACUCUUAAAUUUGGUGUGCUAGGCUGCCAAAAGCCACGCUUUUCUGUUUAAUACAAUAUGGUCUCUUCAAACAGUUUCGGGAAGCCGCGGAGAGCCCGGCUGCAAUUGUGUGGCUUGUCCUUCUCAUUGUGCGUUGGAAAGGCUGUCUAUACGAUGACACGGUCACCUUAAGUUAUUUGGGAUUUUUAACACGAACUAUACAAACACUUCGUUUGGGCUGUAUCCGUGCCUGAAUACUGCUUUUUAACUGUGAUUCAUGUGAUUGUAAAAUGCCCA